rnacentral:lncRNA from 1 species
GAGAGCGAGCAAAGCAAUCUUGUUAAAGGAUGGACAUUCGAUUCCGAACAAAGGAAUACGAAUCUUACUCUGCUGGAGGUAACAAUCAAAAGACUGACCAACGAGUGCAUGGGACAUAUUAUCUAUAGCCGUCAGAACGUAGAUAACAUACUCGCAUGGCAGAUUAUCCAUAACCGGGUUGGAGGUUGUUAGAUGGAUAAACGACCGACAUCAUCCUGAAGAAAGCGAAGGCAAACUUG